GAACGGGUGAGUAACACGUGGGAAACCUACCUCUUAGCAGGGGAUAACAUUUGGAAACAGAUGCUAAUACCGUAUAACAAUAGCAACCGCAUGGUUGCUACUUAAAAGAUGGUUCUGCUAUCACUAAGAGAUGGUCCCGCGGUGCAUUAGUUAGUUGGUGAGGUAAUGGCUCACCAAGACGAUGAUGCAUAGCCGAGUUGAGAGACUGAUCGGCCACAAUGGGACUGAGACACGGCCCAUACUCCUACGGGAGGCAGCAGUAGGGAAUCUUCCACAAUGGGCGAAAGCCUGAUGGAGCAACGCCGCGUGUGUGAUGAAGGGUUUCGGCUCGUAAAACACUGUUGUAAGAGAAGAAUGACAUUGAGAGUAACUGUUCAAUGUGUGACGGUAUCUUGCCAGAAAGGAACGGCUAAAUACGUGCCAGCAGCCGCGGUAAUACGUAUGUUCCAAGCGUUAUCCGGAUUUAUUGGGCGUAAAGCGAGCGCAGACGGUUAUUUAAGUCUGAAGUGAAAGCCCUCAGCUCAACUGAGGAAUUGCUUUGGAAACUGGAUGACUUGAGUGCAGUAGAGGAAAGUGGAACUCCAUGUGUAGCGGUGAAAUGCGUAGAUAUAUGGAAGAACACCAGUGGCGAAAGGCGGCUUUCUGGACUGUAACUGACGUUGAGGCUCGAAAGUGUGGGUAGCAAACAGGAUUAGAUACCCUGGUAGUCCACACCGUAAACGAUGAGUGCUAGGUGUUUGAGGGUUUCCGCCCUUAAGUGCCGCAG
rnacentral:rRNA from 1 species